CCCUCGAUGGUGUAGUUGGUAUCACAACAGGCUGUAAAAGUCUUCAGGAGUUCACUUCUGAUUAAAUCGUAACCUGCAGGUCACCAGUUCGAAUCUGGUUCGAGGGA